AACGAACGCUGGCGGCAGGCUUAACACAUGCAAGUCGAACGCAUCCUUCGGGGUGAGUGGCAGACGGGUGAGUAACGCGUGGGAACGUGCCCUUCAGUUCGGGAUAACCCAGGGAAACUUUGGCUAAUACCGGAUACGUGCGAGAGCAGAAAGAUUUAUCGCUGAAGGAUCGGCCCGCGUCUGAUUAGCUAGUUGGUGGGGUAAUGGCCCACCAAGGCGACGAUCAGUAGCUGGUCUGAGAGGAUGAUCAGCCACAUUGGGACUGAGACACGGCCCAAACUCCUACGGGAGGCAGCAGUGGGGAAUAUUGGACAAUGGGCGCAAGCCUGAUCCAGCCAUGCCGCGUGAGUGAUGAAGGCCUUAGGGUUGUAAAGCUCUUUCGUCCGGGUCGAUAAUGACGGUACCGGAAGAAGAAGCCCCGGCUAACUUCGUGCCAGCCGCCGCCGUAAAAC
rnacentral:rRNA from 1 species